rnacentral:ncRNA from 1 species
AGUAUAUUAUUUAUUUAGAGGAGUAAUGUAUUUACUAUUUAUAGAGAGUUAACGAUAGGUGUAAGUUAAUAUUAAGUGGUACAUGAAGACACUAAACUAGAAAGUAAUCGUAAUUUCUGCGUUAAAGAAUUAAAGAGUAUAGUAUGACUAUAAAUUAAGGUGGUACCGCUGCUAACAAGCAGUCCUUAAG